ensembl:lncRNA
GCAAGUUAGUUAAGUACGUGAGACAAACGUUCGUUGGCCACGUUUUCGUUUCGACCGUUGAAGAGCAAGCUGCUAAAUCUGGCGUCUCUUGUUGAAGUGGUUUUUAAAAGGAUUUAAAGCUUUGUUUGUUCUAUUUCAACCACUAGUUGAUACUAUUAUAAAUCAUUUACUUUUAGACAACCAAAGACAAUUUUUUUUUCUUGGCAAUGUUUCUUGAAAUCACGACAAUGAAAGGAAACUACCAGAAGGACAUCAAGACCGCGCCUGUUCACAAGAAAAAGUGGUCAAAACCGAAGAGGAGGACAUUUCUGCGCUCAAAUAUGGGCGAAAGGAGAAGAAGGGUCCGCGUCUGGUCGUCGUCGAGACCGCAGCGGAGUCCGGACCGUGUCGACAGGACAGCUACGGGGAAUCAACGUCACCUAACAGUAGCCAUGGCACCAAGAAACACGACGCAAUAUUUAAUGGACCUGGUGUAUGCUGAGAGAUUAGACGUUUCAAUGGAGGCAUGUGACGUAAGCCACGAUUUCUCAAUGCAGAGUAAUGUCCCAUUUGAUGAGAGGGUUUUCUCAAUGUCAGACUCUGAUUACGACAGAUCUUUGGACUUUCAGCAGCGAGACUUCGAGAGCGUGUUCUUCAGGAAUGAAAUCUGACGUGUUUUCCAAAACCUGACUCGAUUUCGUCGGAACGAGGCGACCGGGCUGCUGUGUAACCAUAGACAGUAACAUCAUUGCGCAGACUCCAACUCGGGGAGGCGGAACGCUCUGCGUCACAGCUGCGCGAUGACGUGUACGCCCCGCCCUCAGCACGGCCACCAUCACGUGGCCAGCAGAGACUUUUACAGGUUGCUGAUCCUCCUCGGCGGAUCUCAGCUGUCUGUGCAACCCACCCAGAGCCUUGGGACAAAGCCGCAUGGCUGCCUGCUCAUCACUGCUGGGGAACUGUACAUGCUGUGUGGUAAAUGCUUGAAUGUAAAUCUACACAAGUGCACUCAGAGCUACAUCUCAUGUGUGAUGAUAUAGUUUGUGAGAACUUUUGUCAAUAUUUAUUGUAUUAACUAUUAAAAUUUUGUUAAUUCUUAAAACUUAAAUCUGACUUACAUUUUCUUUUUUUUUAUUAAACACUGUGCACACUACAUUCCCAUUACGUGAUUAUGUAACAGUAUCAACUUAAUACUUGCAAAUACACUAUAGCCUACAUAAGCUUUGAUUUUCAUGGAAGAUUAAGUUUUAUAAUGUAAGCACAAGAAGGCUUCACACCUUAUGACCUCCUUCCAGUGUUCAUGAACCUAGAACUGGUUUUCAGCCAGGGUACUGCAAGAUGACUAAUAAUAAAAUUACAGGGAUAUAGAAUAUGUUGUCUCUUAUUUCUCACAUUCUGUCAGCUGUUGUUUCUGUGUACUGUGUUUCUGGAGUUACAAUUAGUAUGCAAGUUUAAAAUGAGAAGAUUUAUAGAAGUACCAGAAUUAUUAUUUGCCGUCUGUGGGGUGUUCGGAUGUUACCUUGCGCAGUUGGGGCCCAUGGAGCUUGAGGACUGCGGCUGAAGAAUACUGGGGUGGGGGGGAAAGGUAAUAUUUUUAUUUUUUAUUAUUAUUAUUUUGUAAAUGAACAGCUUUACAAAUCAAAUACCAUGCAAGGUUUAGCAUAAAAAUUAAUGUAUCUGCAAUUACGACUAUGAUUCACUUCCAUUGUAAGUGCUUCACUAUAGCUUUAAUUUGAAGAAAAUCAGUCGUGAUGGAAAACCGAGGCGUUUAUCAAAUUGUCGAAAAACGGUUCAUUAUUCGAAGGUUUUAACACGAUGCGCAUUAGCGAUAUCUUGUGGUUAGUCUUUAACUUUGCGCACUAGACACUUUUCACACGCUGUUGUGUGUACAUAAUCCCACAAAAGACUCAAAUGUGUUUACAUGCUCGUGCACUACAAAUCAUCUUGCACUGUUACCCAGCCAGCUGCUUGACUUACAAUGUUUCUCUUUGCACGUGC